rnacentral:rRNA from 1 species
UAACUUGAGAGUUUGAUCCUGGCUCAGAACGAACGCUGGCGGCACGCUUAACACAUGCAAGUCGAACGAAAUUAUGGGGCUUGCUCCAUAAUUUAGUGGCGCACGGGUGAGUA